UGGGGAAUAUUGCACAAUGGGCGCAAGCCUGAUGCAGCAACGCCGCGUGAGGGAUGACGGCCUUCGGGUUGUAAACCUCUUUUAGUAGGGAAGAAGCGAAAGUGACGGUACCUGCAGAAAAAAGCACCGGCUAACUACGUGCCAGCAGCCGCGGUAAUACGUAGGGUGCGAGCGUUGUCCGGAAUUAUUGGGCGUAAAGAGCUCGUAGGCGGUCUGUCGCGUCUGCCGUGAAAACCCGAGGCUCAACCUCGGGCCUGCAGUGGGUACGGGCAGACUAGAGUGCGGUAGGGGAGAAUGGAAUUCCUGGUGUAGCGGUGGAAUGCGCAGAUAUCAGGAGGAACACCGAUGGCGAAGGCAGUUCUCUGGGCCGUAACUGACGCUGAGGAGCGGAAGCGUGGGGAGCGAGCAGGAUUAGAUACCCUGGUAGUCCACGCCGUAAACGUUGGGCGCUAGAUGUGGGGACCAUUCCACGGUUUCCGUGUCGCAGCUAACGCAUUAAGCGCCCCGCCUGGGGAGUACGGCCGCAAGGCUAAAACUU
rnacentral:rRNA from 1 species